UCCCUGGUGGCUCAGAUAGUAGAGAAUCUGCAUGCAAUGCAGGAGACCCAGGUUUGAUCCCUGGAUCGGGAA
rnacentral:tRNA from 1 species